rnacentral:rRNA from 1 species
AUUGGGAUGUAUUUAUUAGAUAAAAAACCAAUGCCCCUCGGGGCUCCUUGGUGAAUCAUAAUAACUUAACGAAUCGCAUGGCCUUGCGCCGGCGAUGGUUCAUUCAAAUUUAUGCCCUAUCAACUUUCGAUGGUAGGAUAGUGGCCUACCAUGGUGGCAACGGGUAACGGGGAAUUAGGGUUCGAUUCCGGAGAGGGAGCCUGAGAAACGGCUACCACAUCCAAGGAAGGCAGCAGGCGCGCAAAUUACCCAAUCCCGACACGGGGAGGUAGUGACAAUAAAUACUGAUACGGGGCUCUUUUGGGUCUCGUAAUUGGAAUGAGAACAAUCUAAACCCCUUAACGAGGAACAAUUGGAGGGCAAGUCUGGUGCCAGCAGCCGCGGUAAUUCCAGCUCCAAUAGCGUAUAUUAAAGUUGUUGCAGUUAAAAAGCUAGUAGUUGAACCUUGAGUGGGGCUGGCCGGUCCGCCUCACCGCGAGUACUGGUCCGGCUGGACCUUUCCUUUCCGGGGAAACACAAAAGAAAAUUACCAA